CGGACAAGAAGGAUGAACAUUGGAGCAUGGUCAAGCACAGAGAUGAAGGUGCGUGCGAAGAGAACAAGAACGGAGGUUCAAGUGGAGAUUUUUGGACUUUGAAGCACCACCAUGAUGACAUACAAGAAGAUGGACGAAAUAUACAAGAUGUCCUUUCAUAAAUUUCGUCCAUACCUUAUUAUUGGUGGUGCGCCAUCUUAUUUUGGGCCAGGCCCAUGUAAUCUAUUUUUAGAGUCCAUAUUGUAGGGGAAACGACUUAGGAGGUGUUUUAGUCCCACAUUGCCUGGGGUGGACGAAAUCCCCUCUCUUUUCGCUAUAAAUAUAGCCCUUAAGUCACCACUUAGACUUGGGUUUUAUUUAGUUAAAAGUUAGCCAUCGCUGCAACUUCAUGUACUUCGUUUGUCUCCAACGACCAGAUCAAGACCGCUUAUGAAACCCCACUUUUAUCAAUACUUCAUCCAUAUUCGCAAUAUUGAGAUUGCUUAAUCAUAUUCUUGCUUGUUCUUCGAUUGCUUGCAGGAAUAGACCUUUGUGGUCAGGUAGAUCGCGCUCCGACGUGGUCAAUAACCUCUCAGAGUUGGUUUAGUGAUUGCUAAGGCGCAGCUUCGUUACACGUUCGUAGUUGGAUCAUCAAAGUCGUCUCCACUAAAUCGAUAGUUAUCAUCUCAUCGAAAGAUUGAGCCCCUCGCCUCUAUCAAGUGGUAUCAGUUUUCAGGUUGCUCGGUGAGAUUUUACAGUUUUUCGUAGUUUAGAUCGAGUCUGUUCGUCAUACCUAUAGUCCACAAAAAAGCCACAAAAAAGAUAGAUUACUUCAUCAUAUCCUAGAAAGUCUGAGCCUUUCACUAUUAUCACUUAGUUUUUGCAUUGUUGAAUUCUCGGUUAUAUCGUAUGUCAAGUUGUUGGUUUUAGUGUCUAAAUUUUUAGAGUUUCGGGUUCUAGUCACGUUUCGUUCACGCCACAUCCCUAUAGACCAUCAUCCACUUUGUUUCAUCGUCCGCUGCCAUUUACUUUCAUUACCGCCGUUGUGAGCAUCAUCACAUUGUUCAUCUAGGAGCUUGAUUCAUCACGUGAGAAAAAAGGAACUAAGAAAGAAGGCAGAUCAGAUUGGUUUUGCAAGAAGUGGAGACCGAAGCAAUAAAAAAAAAAGAGACCGCAGAAACACAUUUUUCGGCCAAGAAGCAAUUUAAUAUGGAGAUAUUGCUGGACGUUUUUUUAUCUUAAAAAGGAAAGAAAAGGAGAGGAUACGGGCUAGAGUUUGUUUGGAAAGUUCAGAUCACAAAAGGAGCAAUUCCAUCUAUUGUAUUUGGAUUUGGAAAUCUGCACGACCAGAAGAAAAUAAAAGAAGUAGAAGAGAGAGAAUAAGGAAGACAGAAAAUAAAAUAAGGCAGGGAAGGGCUUGUGGAUUUGUGAUUUAGAAGUUCCUCCUCACGUUGGAGAUCAAGAAAGAAAGUACAAGUUGGCUGAUUCGGUUGUGAUUCCAAAAAAAAGGUGAGAGUUUGAGAGUAGUACUCCACGUCAGAAUAAGGGAGAGAAAAAAGAUAAAGAGGAAAAGGGAGACGUGGUGUGUUCCUGGUUUGGUAACUUCGGAUCAGCAACAAGAAAAGAAAAAAAAGCAGAAUAAUAGGGCAAGUUUGGUGCGCCCUAAACCACAGACGGAGUAGUUGGCAAGCUCAUGUUUGGAAAAAAUAAAGAAGGGGCACGCUUUGAUAUAAAAAAAACAGAUCGCAUGGCAUUUGGAAGUAUUCCCACGUGAGUGUUUUUGGAAGGAGAUAAAUAUUUCAAGUAAAGUCUGCACAUAAAUCACGGAGAGGUGGUUGUUUCCUCGUUUGGCAAGAGGGUUGAUUGUUUCCACGUGAAGUUUGACUUGGAAAGAAAGGAGGUAACGGACAAUCAGAUUUGCCUUGCUCGUUUGAGAGAGAAAAACCUGCUGGGCGCAUACAUGGUAAGAGAAGGAAACUUGAAGGAGAAUAGGCAAGUUUGUUCCACCGCUUGAAAAAAAAAAGCGUCCUUGUUUGAAGAGAGCAAGUCCAUUCGGUUGAUCUAUACACACACAAAAAUAAAAUCGGUGGCAGGUUUCCAAGUCUGGACGUGUCUUUGGAGGAAAAAAAAGAAGGUUUGGUUCGGCUACCAAAUAACUCACUGAUUCCUGCCUUUUGGAAGAUUAUUUCUUUUGGAAAGUUGGAAUGACACUAUUUUGGCUUCCAUAAAAUCUGUAGUAUGUGAUACUGGUUUAUUUGGAAGGAGCACUGAUCACUUGAAGGUUGGAAAGAAAGAGAAAGGGUAAUGUUUGUAGCCGGGGCGCCGGUCGAACCGUUGCGUCGGUCUUAUGCGCGUCGUCUGAUGCGCUAGAUCAAACACCCACGUUUUCUCCUCAACCGCACCCACGUCCACGUGCUGCUGGGGUCCACGCACCGCUUUGGGUGCAGCUUAUCCCUUCGCUUGCGUCGCCUCCUUCUCCACAACUCGUUCUUCUUCUUUUCCCAUCCACAUUCAAUCCUUGCUGCCGCACGGCGGCGACCAACGCGGAGAGGAGAUGCAGUUUUUGGUGGCAAACCACUGGCGGCAAGCAGCAACCCGCGACGACGGCGACGGCGACAAGUGCUGCAACCAGGACGGACACAAGUGCUGGAGACCCCGCGGCGGCCGGCGUUCAAGAUCUCAGCCAGUUUUUUUUUGCUGCAACCCAGUGUUUUUUUGCUGGAACCAGCUUCAAAUUUUGCUACCAAGUAUUUGGGUUUUUGUUUGAAGUGAACCAAUUUUUUUGCUUCCAUGCUUCUUCCCCUGCUGGAACCCGUGUAUUUUUUGCUACAACUGUCUUCAAUUUUUGCUGGAACUAAUAUAUUUUUUGCUUCCAAGUCAUUUUUGCUGGAACCAUUGUAUCACUUUUGCUACAAGCGUUUCGAUUUUUUGCUACUACCGCCGUGUUGAUUUGUUACAUCAAUUUUUUCAUGAGGUCACGGAGACCCACAACGUUGUGUUUUUUGCUGCGACCACUGUCGAUUUUGCUACUGCCGGUGUCGACAUUUGCUGCUUUCACACGUGUGCGAAUAUGGGCUGCAAGCAAAAACGGCGGCGAGCAGUAACCUGGGACGACGGCGAGCAGCAACCUGGGACGACGGCGAUGCUAUUUUGCUGCAACCUCCGUCAGUUUUUGCUACAUCUGGGCAGAUUUUUUGUUACAUCCGUUUUGGAUGGCAGAGACCAGUGGUCAUCGUUCGCGGGGAAACCUAUGCAACGAGUGUCAGCCGCGAGGGACGGGAGCUGCAACCGGUGAUGACCUGCGGGACCAACAGUUCUACGAAUCAGGCGAGUAGUGCUCAUCACGGACGCUUUUUCAAGCUCGCCCGCGACGUGCUUCGAGCUCGCCGGCAGCGGGGUCGGCGCGGUCACCCUGGGACACGCGAGGGUGCACUAGCGGGGGAGCUCCUCCUCGAGCUGAGUCGGUCGCCGCCGCCGUGGAUUCGGGAUGGGGCGACGCGGGGGGAACGCAAAUCAUUUUUGUUUCUAGCUGUGGCCUGGGGCUCUGACUCAGAUCUGACGGGCCUUAAUUGCUGCAUCGGAUGGCUGGUGGCGGACCGGCCGAAAAUUUCGGCCGGUGCACCGGUGCCUAGCAGUCGCCAAAGAGAAAACAGGAAAGUAAGAGAGAGAAGUGCAGCGGUUGCCUUUUCCCUUGGUGGUGUUUGCUUAAAAAAAGAGCAGGACUAGCUAAUUGAAGGAGUGUGGUACGUGACUACUUGUGCCUAAAGAAAAAAAAAUUGACUUGGUUAGGGAGAGGGCCACAAGAUUUCUCUGCUUCUCAUUGGUUUUGGUCACACACGUUUUUGAUUGCUCUAUUGUCGAGGGUGUUCGUUUAUCAGUCGCAUCCAUCGUUGCGUCUGCCAGUGCAAACACAUUUUAAUUAUUAUUUUUGUUAACGUGGCAUUGUGAAUUCAUUUGUGUUAUAGGCUCGCGUCUCUAAUACGGUCUAGUCUAGGACCAGCACUCGAUCACUUUGAACGAAUUUUCGGCUUGCAUUCAUUAACGUGGUUGUAGCAUUUGUUUUUCACAUAUAUAAAGCCAACCCAGGUCCACAUAUUUCUACGUCGUGCAUACAUACGCUUACCUGGCAAUCGCUUUACUUAACCUUUGGAGUUGUUUGACACCGUUGGUUGCCGGUCACCGCCUGCUGCAUGGUAAGAACUUGCAAGACUUUGAUUUUUGCUCUACUGUGAGCGUUUUACCACCACCUCCCAGUAGUUCAUAGGAACAUUAUGUUUGGAUUUUGUUUCUUAUUUCUCUAAUCAUGACAGGAUCUAGAGUCAAUUCAUGGGCUUUGUCGAUCGCGGAAGACGUGCCACCACCUAUGCAAAUACCACAACUGUCACGAGAGGUGCACAAACAUCCAAAUGCACAUGAUCAAGUUCAUGUUUCAAUACCAUCAUUUAAUGGCCGUUUUAGACCAUCUUUAUAUAUUAAAUGGGAGUUCGACAUAAAUAAUAUAUUUGGUUCCCAUAUUUUUUAUGAACGUAAAAAAGUUACGGUUGCGGUUGGUUCUUUCACUGGUUAUGCUUUAGUUUGGUGGAGUGAAUAUUGUCGGUUACACCCUGAUUAUGUACCUAAUACUUGGAAUGAUCUAAAACUUGUCAUGAGAUAUAUAUUUGUCGAUGUAUAUUAUAUUCGUGGCAUGAUUAAAAAACUACAACAUUUAAAACAAGGUAGUGACACCGUAACAAAAUAUUAUGAUGAUUUACAAACUACCUUGUUGCACUCAUUUUUAGAGGAAACUGAAGAUGAUUUUAUGGAUAGAUUUUGGGGAGGGUUAAACCAUGAUACUCAGGAGAUACUAAUGCACGAAGAGUGUUAUCCUAUGGACCGUUUGUUUCAUCUUGCUUGCACAGCUGAACAGGAAAUAAAACGACGUGUUGACCACAAGAAGAACAAUCGCAAGGUGCACAUUCCAAGAGUUGAUACAGUUGCCCCUUCAACUACUAGGCAUACUACGACAACCACAUUCGUUGUAGUGAGGACUGGAUCACCUCCACCAUGUGACACAUCACCAUCGAGAGUGCCUACAUCAUCUGAGUUGAUCAUAAGAGGUAAUGACAAAGGUAUUGAUCUUCCACCUCCACAUGAGUAUGAUGAAUGUCUUGCCAAUUUAAAUGCACCAUGCGAUGAGCUACCUACUACUUUGAUCACACCAGCUAUUUUAGAGGACUAUGUUGAUGAUUUGACUUUGCCAUGUGAUCAAACAAUUUUGAGUGAGCCCAUUGAAUUAACUAUUGGUGCAAAAGAACCAUGUGAAUCAGAGAAUAAAUCAGAUUGGGGUCAAAUACAUUUGAAAAUAAUUUUUUCAAUGUUUAAUCAUUUUAAUAUGACCUCCAAUCUUGGUGAUGAUUCUGUGUCGAAUAAAUUGUUGCAUGUUUGCUUAUUUAAGCAUGUUAUAGCAUGUAAUUUUGAAUCAAUUAAAGUUUAUUCACAGAUGUUGGGAUCGUUUAAUGAUAAGCAUCGUCAAUCUUUUGAUAUCAAUAAGAGCUUCCCGUAUAUGUGCAAACUGAGUUGUAAUAUUUUCAUGCCUUUCUCUUCUUGUGAUAAUAUAUUGGCUUUAUAUUUCACGGCUUUUGAAGGGUGCUCUUGUAUAACUGUGUCACAUGUGCCCCAACUGAGAUCAGUAAAAAUGGAUGACAUAUACAUAUACAACGUGUACACCUUGUCUCUUUUGUUAGCCACAUUUUAGAUUAAGCAACAUCGAUGACAGCUUUGUUUUCAAGAAGGGGAGGAUGAUAAGGACAUGGCUACCAAAGUUACACCCAUAUCCCCUGCUGUUUUACCUCUUGGAACAAUUGCUAGAGCUCGCAUACGCCGAUUAAAUUAUCAGGUACUUUUGUUUCUUGGUGAUGUUUCGAGUGUUCAUGAGAAUAUGAUGAUGCCUAACUUAGAUACAUUUGUGUUGCUUGCGGUUGAAGGGCCUAGCACGGACAAGAAGGAUGAACAUUGAAGCAUGGUCAAGCACAGAGAUGAAGGUGCGUGCGAAGAGAACAAGAACAGAGGUUCAAGUGGAGACUUUUGGACUUUGAAGCCACCAUGAUGACAUACAAGAAGAUGGACGAAAUAUACAAGAUGUCCUUUCAUAAAUUUCGUCCAUACCUUAUUAUUGGUGUUGCGCCAUCUUAUUUUUGGCCAGGCCCAUGUAAUCUAUUUUUAGAGUCCAUAUUGUAGGGGAAACGACUUAGGAGGUGUUUUAGUCCCGCGUUGCCUGCGGUGGACGAAAUCCCCUCUCUUUUCCCUAUAAAUAUUGCCCUUAGGGGGUGUUUAGAUAGAUAGAAUAUAUAGAACGCAUUCUCCACAAAUCAGAAAAACCGUCUAACCGAAUAAAAUCUUGUUUGUGUACCCUAACUAAUAUGUGGAUAUACAGAACGCGGUUCCUGGAAAUCCAGAAUUUCAG
rnacentral:lncRNA from 1 species